rnacentral:lncRNA from 1 species
UGCAUUUCGGCACCCGAAUGCACUAUUGCCGGAGAGCGAAACUCGGGUGGAUUUUUUCGCAACAAACGCAUGCAAUCUUCCUAAAUAUGCACUAGAACAUGUUUGGGAGUGUUUUUGGCCAUUCGGUUGCGGCACGAAAAAUGAUACAAAACGGGUGCAUUUCGGCACCCAAAUGCACUAUUGCCGGGUAGCGAAACUCGGGUGGAUUUUUUCGCAACGAACGCAUGCAAUCUUCCUAAAUAUGCACUAGAACAUGUUUGGGAGUGUUUUUGGGCAUUCGGUUCCGGCACGAAAAACGAUGCAAAAUGGGUGCAUUUUGGCACCCGAAUGCACUAUUGCCGGGUAGCGAAACUCGGAUAGAUUUUUUCGCAACGAACGCAUGCAAUCUUCCUAAAUAUGCACUAGAACAUGUUUGGGAGUGUUUUUGGGCAUUCGGUUCCGGCACGAAAAAUGAUGCAAAACGGGUGCAUUUCAGCACCCGAAUGCACUAUUGCCGGAGAGCGAAACUCGGGUGGAUUUUUUCGCAACGAACGCAUGCAAUCUUCCUAAAUAUGCACUAGAACAUGUUUGGGAGUGUUUUUGGUCAUUCGGUUGCGGCACGAAAAAUGAUGCAAAACGGGUGCAUUUCGGCACCCGAAUGCACUAUUGCCGGGUAGCGAAACUCGGGUGGAUUUUUUCGCAACGAACGCAUGCAAUCUUCGUAAAUAUGCACUAGAACAUGUUUGGGAGUGUUUUUGGCCAUUCGGUUCGUGCACGAAAAAUGAUGCAAAACGGGUGCAUUUCGGCACCCGAAUGCACUAUUGCCGGGUAGCGAAACUCGGGUGGAUUUUUUCGCAACGAACGCAUGCAAUCUUCCUAAAUAUGCACUAGAACAUGUUUGGGAGUGUUUUUGGGCAUUCGGUUCCGGCACGAAAAACGAUGCAAAACGGGUGCAUUUCGGCACCCGAAUGCACUAUUGCCGGAGAGCGAAACUCGGGUGGAUUUUUUCGCAACGAACGCAUGCAAUCUUCCUAAAUAUGCACUAGAACAUGUUUGGGAGUGUUUUUGGCCAUUCGGUUGCGGCACGAAAAAUGAUGCAAAACGGGUGCAUUUCGGCACCCGAAUGCACUAUUGCCGGGUAGCGAAACUCGGGUGGAUUUUUUCGCAACGAACGCAUGCAAUCUUCCUAAAUAUGCACAAGAACAUGUUUGGGAGUGUUUUUUGGGCAUUCGGUUCCGGCACGAAAAAUGAUGCAAAACGGGUGCAUUUCGGCACCCGAAUGCACUAUUGCCGGGUAGCGAAACUCGGGUGGAUUUUUUCGCAACGAACGCAUGCAAUCUUCCUAAAUAUGCACUAGAACAUGUUUGGGAGUGUUUUUGGCCAUUCGGUUCCGGCACGAAAAAUGAUGCAAAACGGGUGCAUUUCGGCACCCGAAUGCACUAUUGCCGGGUAGCAAAACUCGGGUGGAUUUUUUCGCAACGAACGCAUGCAAUCUUCCUAAACAUGCACUAGAACAUGUUUGGGAGUGUUUAAGCAUUCGGUUCCGGCACGAAAAACGAUGCAAAACGGGUGCAUUUCGGCAUCCGAAUGCACUAUUGCUGGGUAGCGAAACUCGGGUGGAUUUUUUCGCAACGAACGCAUGCAAUCUUCCUAAAUAUGCACUAGAACAUGUUUGGGAGUGUUUUUGGGCAUUCGGUUCCGGCACGAAAAACGAUGCAAAACGGGUGCAUUUCGGCACCCGAAUGCAC